UUUUUUUUUUUUUUUUGUCUUUCCUAGGGCCACACUUGAGGCAUAUGGAGGUUCCCAGGCUAGGGAUCCGAUUGCCGCUGUAGCCGCCUGCCUACACCCAGCCACAGCAACAUCAGAUCCAAGCCGUGUCUGCGACCUACACCACAGCUCACAGCAACACCAGAUCCUUAACCCAUUGAGCAAGGCCAGAGAUCAAACGUGAAACCUCAUGGUUCCUAGUCAGAUUCGUUAACCACUGAGCCACGACAGGAACUCCUUUUUUGCCUUUUUCGAAUGCUUUCUGUUUGACCUCGUUUCAUUCCCAAUGAGCAUGGCACACUCUUUCCCAUUUUGCCAAUGAAAAGUUAAGGCUUAGAGAUGGUGAAUGAGUUACUUGGAGGAAACCAGCAAAAGCAUGGCAACCCUGAGGCUAAAACCCACACCUCAAUCUCCCACCCAGGACUCUGGCCUGUAAACCACACCAACUGCCUUAUGUAAAAACACAAACCACUAUUAUAAGACUGCAACCUCUGAGACCCAAGUGUAGAUUCUCUCCAACGGGUGAGAGUCUGAAGGCAGGAAACAUGCCCUAUUUCUCUUUGUCUUUAGAGUGGGAAUGUUUAAGGCCUAAGAUUUCGCCCCAUCCACCCACCUACCCACACCCACACCCACACCCAGUCAGCCAUGUCUCCAAAAGCAGGCUCCCUAGGAACAUGCCUUGCUCAUGGAUGGAGAGAGAGGCCAGUAGAUGUGCAGUUUAUCCUCCCCCACACCCUUUAGGGUACAACCUUGCCCACAGCCUCACAGAGAAAGGAUUGAGGAUCCCAUAGGCCAGCCAGUGUGUGACAAGGGCCAGUUGCAAACUAGGUAGGCACCAGACAUGCAAGACUAGACACAGAGAUCAGAAGAAGUCAAGUGUCAGCGACAGUGGGUUAAACCAGGGGGCUGCGGAACCCCAGGGAACGUGGCCAUGAGGUCCUGGUCCCUCAUAUAACAGAGGGAGAUGUGACUUGCCAGGGUCACACAACAGCCAGCGAGAGCAGCAGUAAGGCCAAUCCAAAGCCCAAAGGAAUCGGUCAAAGGCCAGGCCACAACUCCACAGAGCCAGGUUUCAUUCAUUCACACAAGAGUCACCCAGUCCCAUUCCCGAUGACCAGAUCGUCCUGUUGUUCUGGGUCCAGAGCCAGUACCCUGUCCCCAGUCUCCCUCCCCCACUUUGGGGAUGAGAUGGCCCUCAUGACUCAAGGUGGGGAAAAUCUGCGAAAUCACAGAAAAGGGAGCAGCUCCCCCUCUGGAGAAGCAAACCCAAACUCCAAAGCACAAGAAACAAACCAAUGGGCUGAGUCCAGGGCUGUGACAAGUCCAAGGAUUCCAGAGCCCAGUGUGGAAAGUUGCCAGAAGCCAGAAGACAGGAAGAGGUCUGACCUGAGUGGUCUAAAGGAAGGGCAUGCUAUCAAGGGCUGAAAGGAAACCAAAAGAUCUUGGAGGUAUGGUAAUGACACCAAGAGGUAAGGGGGAGAUAAGCCUAGGUUAUCAAUCCUGAUGGCAGAGGAGAGUUCCUAGUAGGAAGGGGGGUGGGGGGUAGGUGUGCUUGGAUCUAUAAACAGUGCCUUUAAGUGUUUGUCCCCAACUUGGAAAGCAUGGAAUAUCUGAAUGUUAGCAGUGCCUGCUACUGAAGACAAAAGCACCGUAAUGGUACUUUCUGUAAGGAAAGGGGAUGCCAUUGACUCCAAAUGCUAUUUACAAAGGGCUUUUCAGGAAAGAAAAAAAAAAAAAAAAGUCUUGCCUAUAAAGACACCUGUCCAUUGGUCUGAGCUGACUGAUGAUGUAGUGUUUGCUUUCCUAUUUCUGUGGGGUCUGUGGCGCUUCUGUUGAGCAAAGGGGAGGGGCAAUCGCUGUGUUGGGGACCUAGCAGAGAAGCAGGAACUCAGUAAAAUGAGGUCUUGUCCCUUCUGUGCUUUCAAGCCCUUGGUGCCUUCCCAGUGUACUUGGAAUAAACAGAUUCCUCAAACGCCGCCCACAAGCCCUACAGGAUCUGGCUCUGCCCCUCCUCUCUCCCUGACACCCACUCAGUGAAGCCCCACUGACCUGCUCUCUGCUCCUCCACCAGCGGAGCUUUCUCUGCCUGCUGCCCUACACUGCAGUUCCCUCUGCUCUGAACAGCCUCCCCCCAGCCCGAUGUUUGCAUGGCUGCCCCCUUCUCCUGCUUUAGGUGCACAGGGCUCUACUUGAGCAGAGGGGGGUCCAGAAGGCCCCACUUCCCAUAACCCUUUACUUCUCCAUGGCACUUAGAUUAACCCAAGUCACCAGUUGUCUACUUGCUUAGAGUACCAAGUAUCCCCUCCUGGGCCCUCCCACCAUCCACAUCAGCAGGUUCCUUUGCAAAAAAGCUCAGUCUUCACUGUCCUGUUCACUAAGAGGGAUGCGGUGCCCGGCAGAGCACCUGAUUGUUGGUAACCAGUCAAGAAAUACAUGUGGGAUGAAUGAACGAACAAGAGGUCUGCUGAUUUGAAUGUAAUUGAGCGAAAACCCAGGACGCCAAUUCCAAACAUGGAAAGAUAAGAAUCUUCACACACUCACUACUGCUUCCCUUUCUCCAAUUAAGCCCCCGUGCAACCUGCUUCCACUUUCUCCCCUCUGCUCCUCCCUCCUUCCCUCUCUUCUUUCUGUUACAGAGGUUCUCGAGCACCUGUUUUGGCUAGAUGCCACAUGAUAGGCCCACCUUCCCACCCACUCUGCUCCCCAGUAGCCCCCAGUCCCCUGCCCUCAUCCAGGGCUCCAGUCUAUCCCUGGGUCCCCUCAAGUCACAUCCUUUAUAUGGUCACCCACCAGUACCUCUUCUUGGGGGACCUUCGCUGGGACUGAGCCCUGAGGCAGAACACUCUAGGAAAGAGAAAUGGGGGAGUCUGCAUGGAACCAGCUACAGCCAUGUAUUUAAUGACAUAUUUGUCCUGUUGGGAGCCAAAGCUUUGGAGUGUCUAUACAUUCAGUUUUUCAUAAAAAAAAAAAGAAUUACAAUAACUCGGUCUUUUCAAAGUUUUUGUUGGCAUCCUAAGAGUCUUAUUAGCUGACUAUCACCCAGGACUGCUUCCUUGCUUCUUCUGAGCCUCAGAUUGAAAUGAACAUUUGGCUUUCAAGAUCCCUCUGUGUUCAGGAGUUCCCAUUGUGGUUAAGAACCUGACUCGUAUCCAUGAGGAUGUGGGUUCCAUCCCUGGCCUCGCUCAGUGGGUUAAGGCUCCAGCAUGGCCACAAGCUGAGGUGUAGGUCACAGAUGAGGCUCAGAUCUGGCAUGGCUAUGGCUGUGGUAUAGGCCGGCAGCUGCAGCUCUGAUUCAGCCCCCAGCCUGGGAACCUCCAUAUGCCACAGAUGCUGCGCUGAAAAAAAAAAAAAAAUUUUAAGAAAGAUCCUUCUGAGUUCUAAACCUUGUGUAAUCUUCGAGACGUGCAUCCACUCAGGUUUGGUAGCAGCCAGGAUGAGUCAAACAUCACCCUCUACGGGCUCAUCUCCCAGUGACAAAAAAAAAUAAGUGCUCAGUUCCAUCCCUCCAGGGGUGUGCGGGAGGGGACGGAGAACUGGGUCAAGGGUCUGCCAAGAUUGUCUCUGGGAGCCGAGGAUCCCUUUUGCUCUGUCUGCAGAAAGAAUAGAGUAGCCCGCUUCCCAGUGAAAGGAAAGGGGUCCUGUCCUGCAGGAAAAGAUUAAGGGGUGAGCUGUGCGGUUGUGUGGAGAGCUGGGGUGCUGAGAGAGAGCAAGCAUUUAUCAUGCUUCAGAACGGAGCUCAGGAAGGUGGGGAUGGGAGGAGAGCCUCAGCCUUUCCCAGUGCUGUCAAUGCACAGGCACGAUGUCAGAGGCAAGGUAGUGAACUGGAGGAUGCAGAGGAGAGCCAGGACAAAGGGGCACAGACUUGAGCGAACGUCUCCCUGGGUGAGUUCAGUGAGGGGCUGCCUUGUUCCCCGGAGGCAUGGGGGUUGGGGGUGGCCCAGCGUAGAUCUGCUGACCCCCUUCUGAGGAUCCCAGGACCCCAGGGACAGAGAAGAAGCCUGCAGCAUUGUUUGAGGUUCUAGCAAGUGCCCAAAGCAUCUUCAAUGUCUGGCUCUCCAGGCAGCUCAGGAUGGGACCUAAAUCUACACUCUCCCUCCACCAAGUUACGCCUGCCAACAGGAUUCCUGGGGCGCUGGUUCAGUGAGGGAUGCAGUGGGGAACAGGGCCGGGCUGCCCUGUGUUCGGCUUCGCCCAGCCCUCCGGCAGCAGAGAGUGAGCCUGCAGAAGCAGCCUCACUGCCUUAAGCACAGUCUGGGCCUGCGUCAGCAGCAAACAGCUUCCCUUGCACCUCGGGAGGAAGUGUUAAUGAGGAGAGAGGUGGAGAAGGGUUGUGCCUGCCUGCGGUUUCUAAC
rnacentral:lncRNA from 1 species